UACGUAGGGGCCAAGCGUUGUCCGGAUUCAUUGGGCGUAAAGAGCUCGUAGGCGGUUCAGUUAGUCGGGUGUGAAAUCUCCGGGCUCAACCCGGAGGGGCCACCCGAUACUGCUGUGACUCGAGUCCGGUAGGGGAGUGGGGAAUUCCUGGUGUAGCGGUGAAAUGCGCAGAUAUCAGGAGGAACACCGGUGGCGAAGGCGCCACUCUGGGCCGGUACUGACGCUGAGGAGCGAAAGCGUGGGUAGCAAACAGG
rnacentral:rRNA from 1 species